UUCUGAAUAACAAUGCAAACAUAAAACACACAACAAUGGUAAAACACUUCUCUCUUAGCUUACGACUGUUAUCGCGCUUGGUGCGAGGCUGAUGUAUAGUUGGAGAAAAGUACUAUCCACACUUGCCCGCACUUAAAUGCGGGUUUUUUUUUACCUGUG
rnacentral:ncRNA from 1 species